rnacentral:lncRNA from 1 species
ACUUAAGUGAAAAAUAAUAAUCGUGUAAAACUUUUGUUUUAAAUUAUUUUUCGCUGAAAAUUGACAAGCAGUUUUAAAAUUUAAAAUACAUGUGAUAACAUUUAAAAAGAUGUCAAAUUUACAUAGAAAAAAUUCUCAAUCCUCGCAAUAUAUAUAUAAAGAUAGACUACAAUGCUUUUGAAAGUUCGAACGCAUUCAUACUUGUAAGUUAUUUUCGAUAGUGAGACAGUCGAGUUGGCGAUCAGUUCCGUGAGAAAUAAUCUACAGUGUUAGGACUUAUCUAGAAAACAGGUUUUAUAAUUUUUGACUUUGUUUGUCUAGUAAACAAGUAACCUCAAAAUAAACAGUUGAAAAUAAAAGUUCUAUAAGACAAUGAUAAAAGACUUAAAUUUCAAAUCGAAGGUAUUGAUUUUACUCUUAAUAUUGCGUAAAUUUUUUUAUUAAAAUUUUAUCUAAUUUAGAUUGUUCUGCACCAUUGAAGUUACAAAGGUGCCAUAUUGGCCAUUAAAAUAGUCAUCUUUGAGACCCUUUGAUUACUUAGUAAAUGAUGUCGAAAAAAUUAUAAAAUUGGUUUCCAAAUAGUUCUAAUAGUGCAUAUCAUGUCAAAUAGAACCGAUUGUGGAAUCGGAUGUCCUAGCAUUGAAAAUAAAUUGCAAGCAUGGAUGCCUUCAUGCUUUCGAAAGCACAAGAGACGUUCUCUCUCUCUCUCUCUCUCUCUCUCUCUAUAUAUAUAUAUAUAGAGAAAGAGAGAGACUAGAGCUAUUAUAUUCUUUUAAGUAUAGAGGCAAGUUCAAGAUCAGAAUUAUUGAUUUUGAUCUAUAUAGUGAAUAUAAUUUUCUAUUAAAAAUUCAAUUGAUUUUUCUUUUUUUAUAGCAUUAGUUUAGAAACACUCCAUGUCAGCCGUUAAAAAUAUUAAUUUUGAGGCCUUUUGUUCGUACGAUAUAUAAUGUCAACAAAUUAUGAAAUUUGAUUUCUAAAAUAUUUAAAUACUCUGAAUUAUGUUUAAUAAUAUGGAUCAUUGAUUCGAAAUCUCAUUAUCGAAACUCUUUAUGAGUAUGAAGACGAACGUACUCAUAAUAGAAUAAUAGUUACAUGCACACACUCUCUCUCUCUAUAUAUAUUACG